CUACAGGCUUAACACAUGCAAGUCGAGGGUCAGCAUUUCAGUUUGCUUGCAAACUGGAGAUGGCGACCGGCGCACGGGUGAGUAACACGUAUCCAACCUGCCGAUAACUCGGGGAUAGCCUUUCGAAAGAAAGAUUAAUACCCGAUGGUAUAAUCAGACCGCAUGGUCUUGUUAUUAAAGAAUUUCGGUUAUCGAUGGGGAUGCGUUCCAUUAGGCAGUUGGUGAGGUAACGGCUCACCAAACCUUCGAUGGAUAGGGGUUCUGAGAGGAAGGUCCCCCACAUUGGAACUGAGACACGGUCCAAACUCCUACGGGAGGCAGCAGUGAGGAAUAUUGGUCAAUGGGCGCAGGCCUGAACCAGCCAAGUAGCGUGAAGGAUGACUGCCCUAUGGGUUGUAAACUUCUUUUAUAUGGGAAUAAAGUUUUCCACGUGUGGAAUUUUGUAUGUACCAUAUGAAUAAGGAUCGGCUAACUCCGUGCCAGCAGCCGCGGUAAUACGGAGGAUCCGAGCGUUAUCCGGAUUUAUUGGGUUUAAAGGGAGCGUAGGUGGACAGUUAAGUCAGUUGUGAAAGUUUGCGGCUCAACCGUAAAAUUGCAGUUGAUACUGGCUGUCUUGAGUACAGUAGAGGUGGGCGGAAUUCGUGGUGUAGCGGUGAAAUGCUUAGAUAUCACGAAGAACUCCGAUUGCGAAGGCAGCUCACUGGACUGCAACUGACACUGAUGCUCGAAAGUGUGGGUAUCAAACAGGAUUAGAUACCCUGGUAGUCCACACAGUAAACGAUGAAUACUCGCUGUUUGCGAUAUACAGUAAGCGGCCAAGCGAAAGCAUUAAGUAUUCCACCUGGGGAGUACGCCGGCAACGGUGAAACUCAAAGGAAUUGACGGGGGCCCGCACAAGCGGAGGAACAUGUGGUUUAAUUCGAUGAUACGCGAGGAACCUUACCCGGGCUUAAAUUGCAUUUGAAUAUAUUGGAAACAGUAUAGUCGUAAGACAAAUGUGAAGGUGCUGCAUGGUUGUCGUCAGCUCGUGCCGUGAGGUGUCGGCUUAAGUGCCAUAACGAGCGCAACCCUUAUCUUUAGUUACUAACAGGUCAUGCUGAGGACUCUAGAGAGACUGCCGUCGUAAGAUGUGAGGAAGGUGGGGAUGACGUCAAAUCAGCACGGCCCUUACGUCCGGGGCUACACACGUGUUACAAUGGGGGGUACAGAAGGCAGCUACCUGGUGACAGGAUGCUAAUCCCAAAAGCCUCUCUCAGUUCGGAUCGAAGUCUGCAACCCGACUUCGUGAAGCUGGAUUCGCUAGUAAUCGCGCAUCAGCCAUGGCGCGGUGAAUACGUUCCCGGGCCUUGUACACACCGCCCGUCAAGCCAUGAAAGCCGGGGGUACAUGAAGUACGUAACCGCAAGGAGCGUCCUAGGGUAAAAC
rnacentral:rRNA from 1 species